GCAAACUUGGUCAUUUAGAGGAAGUAAAAGUCGUAACAAGGUCUCCGUAGGUGAACCUGCGGAGGGAUCAUUACCGAGUGAGGGCCUCCGGGCUCGAUCUCCCACCCUUUGACAAACGUCCGGUUUGCCUCGGGGGUGACCCGGCUCUCACAAAAAGGCCGGGUGCUCCCGGAGGGAUUCCUACUCUGCAUCUUUGCGUCGGAGUCGAACGGAAAAAUUAAAUGAAAACUUUCAACAACGGAUCUCUUGGUUCUGGCAUCGAUGAAGAACGCAGC
rnacentral:misc_RNA from 1 species